rnacentral:lncRNA from 1 species
CCCAGGCUCUGCGCCAGGCCCUUGUACGUCUGUGAUACCUUCUGUCGUUUGGUCAUUUUAAUAAUUCUGGGAUUCACGCUCUCUCCAAAGGGGACUGAUACGUGUUAAAUCACCGCGUGCCAGAAUUCUGAUAGACAUUAUCUCGGGUAAUCCUCGUCCGUCCCUGAGGUGAGCAUCGUUGUCCCCGUUUUUUAGGUGGCACAGCUGCGGUGCAGAGGAUGAGACGCCUUGGUCAAGGUCACAGCGCUAAAGGCAGUGGGGUUUCAUCUGACCAGGAAACGAAACACGUCCAGUUCAGAAGCGUGUGACCUUCAGUCUGUACCCUGCUCCCCCCCUGCCAGGAGUGGCACCCACACCUGUGAUCCGAAGGAUGUGGGAACAGUAUUGAGACGUGGCACUGCUGUCCUUGUUUAUUUAUAGAGAAGCUUCCGUCGUGUCUUCCCAUUAAAUCACAGCCCUUCGGGUUUUCCUUACAGAGAAGCAGCGUCCGUUCAGAUGAAGUCAUCUGAGACAUAUCAAGCCUUGCCUCCUGGGUGGUUUUGCAGACUCCCCAGAACUUCCAGAAGGGUGGUUCUCCUGUCUAAUCCCCCUUUUUCUUUCUUGCUUUUUUUUUUUUUUUUUUUUUUUUUAGGGCCACCCUUGCAGCACAUGGAAGUUCCCAGGCUAGGGGUUAGGUCGGAGCUGUAGCCAUUGGCCUACACCACAGCCACAGCAACUCAGGGAUCCGAGCCACAUUACCCCAUAGCUGAUGGCAACGCCAGAUCCUUAACCCACUGAGCGCGGCCAGGGAUCGAACCUGCAUCCUCAUGGAUCCUAGUUGGGUUUGUAGCCUGUUGAGCUGCAUCAGGAAUCCACUUCCCCUGUUUCUGAGGUGGGGUUCCCUGCUCCUGUUGGCUUGGUGCAGAGCCAGGACUGUUUUCACUGCCCUGAGCCCCCUUGGUACCAUGAUGUUUGGGGCUGGAGCUUUGAUCUGCUCCCGGGACAGUGUUUUUACCUGGGGGCGGAGGGGGGGUGGUCAUUGACUAUCCUUGUAUUUGCUGGUUUUCUCGGGGAUCCCGGGAGGCCCGCUGCACCGUUUGCUCAUAUCCGGGGUCUCAUGAAGACAGGAGCGCCCUGUCAUCCUCUCUAAGGGUUCUGGUGCACGUGGCAUGACUCAUCCUGGGAAUUUAAAAACCUGGAGGUGGGCAAGGGUCGAGAAUUCUUCCCCGGGUACAUUUGAGGUCGUCCGUAAUCCCCCAAAGCAGGAUGUUGGCCGGGAAAUAGCAAAAGUGGGAGCAGGCGCUCCCGCUGGGGCGCGAUGGGAGGGGUGCUGUCUUGGGAGCGCUGGGGCGCGGCCGGGCCGGCGCAGCGGGUUGAGGAUCCGGCAUCGCGGCAGCUGCAGCGCCGGUCACAGCCACGGCUCAGAUCGGAUCCCUGGCCCGGGAACUCCAUGCGCCGAGGGGCGGCCAGAAAAGGGGGACAAAAGUGGGAGUGGCAGAAAUUGCAGUUGCCACCAAAUUCCCAUCCUCUCUUCCCCCCUUAGUUCCUGAUUUCGGUUUUCCUGAGCGCCCGUGUUCAAGGCUCAGUCGAGGAGAGGCUGCGGGAAGCUCUGCCGCAGAGGGCAGCGGGUCAGCGCGGCGAGCCCGUCUCUCCCGCCUUCGCCGUUCCUGCUCCUGGGCGGCCUGCUCCUCUCUGAGGGGCCUGGGGGUGAAGCCACGUGCCGGCCGACGCCUGGCGGGGGAGAUCCCGGGCACGGCCGUGCGUGUUCCUCCCCCACGGAGGUGCAGCCACGCGGGUGGGGAGCCCCAGCCUGGGUGGGGUGAACGGGGGUCACCCUGUCAGCAGGUGUCAGCUCCGGGGCAGGGUGGGGGCUGGAUUGGAAAGGCGUUCCAUCUGGAAGGGUUGGUGGUGCAGGUAGUUGUGUUAAAGAUCAGGGUGCUGGGUCUCCCGCUGCUGGAGGAGGAGCCACAAGGACAGAAGAGGGCAGCACGAGGAUGCCCCUGCCUGUGGCUGUGGCUGUGGCUGUGGCUGGGGUAUUGGUGUGAGCACAUGGUUUUCGCGAACCAUAGACGUAAAUGAGUGUGUCUUUAUGUGUCUGUGUGUAUGUUUAUGUGCACAGAAAUGAAUGUCUAUCCUGCGGGCAGAUAACACGCUGAGAGCAGUGAGCACCCCGACUCGAGAUUAGCCUCUCAUUUCUACCGUUUUCCACUAGCGGGUGGGAACCAGGGCUCUUUGGCGGAACGGCUGGGUCUAGGGCUGGGGCAGAGGACGCCCGGGGCGAGCCUGGAACACCUCGUGCAGAGAGCAAGGCAGUGCCCAAGGCCGGUGCAGCCAGGUCAGGGGGACGGAGAAGCCCCCUGGAAUUCGCCCGUCUGUCCAAAUUGAGGACGGUUUGAGCAUCAGAGUGACUCAUGACUCUCUUGGGUUCUAAGUCACUGAGUACACUAGGCAACUCAGAGUCUGUGCAGGUAGAACCAAAGCAGCGAACCGCUGGCAGGUCUGGGGGUGAAUGAGGGUGCUACGUAGGGUCAGAGAAAUUUCCUCUGCUCUUAGAAAGCAGGGGUGGGGAGAAUAACUUCACUGUGGCCGUCACCACCUUUAUCAGGUGAUCAGAGCACACGUCUGCAGUGAGGGGACAGAUUGCAGCCCUGUGCCAUUGAUAGGCAGUGAGAAGAACCCAGCCCCACUUCCAGAAGAUUCUAGCUGAAGAGAGGUGACCUGAAUUUAACCACGAGGCAAAGCCAGGGAAAAAAAAAACAGAUGGCCUGACGUCAUUAAAAGACGUGAAAGCCAAAGACCGAGGGAUUGUCCCGGGCUGGAGGAGACGGAAGGACAAGACGAGGAAUGCCAUUGGGAUUCUGCAUUGGGUCCUUUGACAACUGACAAAACGGGAAGGGUCUGAGAGCGAGUGGUCCAGUGGCCGUGUUGGUGUCCUGCUGUUGAGGCUGUGGUCUGGUGGUAUGAGAGGGUCCGUGGGGGAAAUGGAUGUGAACAAUGCGGGGAUCCAGGUUGGCAGCUCUCUGAGUGCCUGGGUGCCCAGCGCACCCCGCGUCCUAGGGCUGACGGCCGCGUGUCUGGGCCCCUCAGCAAAUGGGGAGACGGAGCUGGGGAGCUGGGAGGCAGGGCCGGAGGGCUGCCGUGUUCCGGGUCAGCUCUGCCCCGAGGGAGGGUCACAUGGGGAGGUGAUGUCUGAAGUGACCUGGCAACAUCCGUGCAGGCCGAGAAGGAUUUGCCAGGCGGCGUGAGGAGGUGCGGGCUCCCAGGCAGUGGCAGCCUCAUGAAUGGAGGUGGGACGGCCUGGUUGUGGCCGAGAGAGAGGGGGCCAGACCGUGACUGGCCUGUGUGAGCCAAGAGGAAACUUGGACUUGACCCUUUGGAACGUGUUAUCUGGAAAUGUGUACCGAAUUACCCCGCCAUUCCUGGCUGCAGCAGCAGACAUCCGCCCACAGCUGGUGGAUGAGAGUCCGAGGGCCACUGGGGGGGGUGGCGCUGGUCCCCCCGGGCUCUCAGGGCUGCAUGGGGCUGUGGUCUCCCUGGGCCGACUUGGGAGGGUCUGAGCUCACACACGUGACAGCCAGCAGGGCCCCUUCUGUCCAUCUGGGGAGACCUCAGUCCCUCUCCAUGCAGGUGUCUCCUUAGGAAGGCCCAUAGCAUCGUAGCUGGCUUCCCUGAGGGGGGCAGGGCACGGCGAGCCCCCCAGAUGGAGCCACACUCUUGUUAAAACUAAACCUCGGGGGCGACAUCCCAUCAGCUGCUCUGGGCUCUGUCUGUUUGAAGUGAAUCACUAAACCCAGUCUCUGCACAGGGGGUGGGGAUCACACACAGAGACCUGCAGGCCAGGGGGCAGGAUCAUGGGGCCCCCCGGGGCUCGCAGAGCCCCAGGCCGGGAGCAGGGAGGGGCAUGUCCUGCAGGCAGUGAGACAGCGUAGGGGAUGCUCAUCCCGGGUGAGUUGAAGUGGGAGGAAGCAGGAGCCUUGCUAUCAAUGUACAGAACUGCCCGGAGCGCUUGGGGAGGUGGGGGCACCAGGUGGUUCAGGUGCUGCCCAGGUGACAUGCAUGCACCUGCACCUGCCACAGCCAUGUUGUCUACAGGGUCUUCUGAUAAGAUGCCAACUGUAUACAGACUUCUGCUGCUGGCUUAUUGCUGAUUGGUAAGCAGGUCUGUUCCUGGACUUUGAUGGUUAGAACCUAGCUUCUGCGGAGAGGGUUUUGUGGGAUCCCUUUGCUGCUGGGAGACAGGGGAGAGCUACUAGGUAGUUACCUCGUUUUAAAACACAUUCAGCUUGUGCAGCGUCAGGGCUGUAACUUGCAGUCUCAUCUUACAAGCGCUGCCCUGCCUGCGCUGCCCCUGGGAGAUGGCGCCAGCGCCUGCAUUGUCGGGUGGUCAGCAGGCGGGACCAGGCUCCGCAACACUCAUGCCUCCGUCUCUCAGAUCAGCACUGUGGCCUUUACUCGUGAUGUCGGAAGGACUGAUUCUCGCCUUCCUGAAAUCUGCGAACUAAAUGUAAAGUACUUUAAAGAAUGAUGUUUUCACAGAUCUUGGGCUUUUAGUUUCAGCCAUGUCAUCACCAAAUCGACCUAAACAAGAUUAGCUGAAUUUGGGGAGGAGGCAGGGACCCAGGGCCACAGGAUUGAGGAGAAGGGCGACAGCCCAUCACUUGUGACCUGUUCAUAUCCAGAAAAAAAAAA